AAAGAAUUAGUUAAAUAUUAAUAACAUUUGUUUGUCAAGCAAAAAUCAUCGACUGGAUAUUCUUUA
rnacentral:tRNA from 1 species